CAGGCUUAACACAUGCAAGUCGAGGGGCAGCAUCAUCAAAGCUUGCUUUGAUGGAUGGCGACCGGCGCACGGGUGAGUAACACGUAUCCAACCUGCCGACAACACUGGGAUAGCCUUUCGAAAGAAAGAUUAAUACCGGAUGGCAUAGUUUUCCCGCAUGGGAUAAUUAUUAAAGAAUUUCGGUUGUCGAUGGGGAUGCGUUCCAUUAGGCAGUUGGCGGGGUAACGGCCCACCAAACCAACGAUGGAUAGGGGUUCUGAGAGGAAGGUCCCCCACAUUGGAACUGAGACACGGUCCAAACUCCUACGGGAGGCAGCAGUGAGGAAUAUUGGUCAAUGGACGAGAGUCUGAACCAGCCAAGUAGCGUGAAGGAUGACUGCCCUAUGGGUUGUAAACUUCUUUUAUACGGGAAUAAAGUGAGCCACGUGUGGCUUUUUGUAUGUACCGUAUGAAUAAGGAUCGGCUAACUCCGUGCCAGCAGCCGCGGUAAUACGGAGGAUCCGAGCGUUAUCCGGAUUUAUUGGGUUUAAAGGGAGCGUAGGCGGGUUGUUAAGUCAGUUGUGAAAGUUUGCGGCUCAACCGUAAAAUUGCAGUUGAUACUGGCGACCUUGAGUGCAACAGAGGUAGGCGGAAUUCGUGGUGUAGCGGUGAAAUGCUUAGAUAUCACGAAGAACUCCGAUUGCGAAGGCAGCUUACUGGAUUGUAACUGACGCUGAUGCUCGAAAGUGUGGGUAUCAAACAGGAUUAGAUACCCUGGUAGUCCACACAGUAAACGAUGAAUACUCGCUGUUGGCGAUAUACGGUCAGCGGCCAAGCGAAAGCAUUAAGUAUUCCACCUGGGGAGUACGCCGGCAACGGUGAAACUCAAAGGAAUUGACGGGGGCCCGCACAAGCGGAGGAACAUGUGGUUUAAUUCGAUGAUACGCGAGGAACCUUACCCGGGCUUAAAUUGCAACUGACGGAACCGGAAACGGUUCUUUCUUCGGACAGUUGUGAAGGUGCUGCAUGGUUGUCGUCAGCUCGUGCCGUGAGGUGUCGGCUUAAGUGCCAUAACGAGCGCAACCCUUACGGGUAGUUACCAUCAGGUUAUGCUGGGGACUCUACCCGGACUGCCGUCGUAAGAUGUGAGGAAGGUGGGGAUGACGUCAAAUCAGCACGGCCCUUACGUCCGGGGCUACACACGUGUUACAAUGGGGGGUACAGAAGGCAGCUACACGGCGACGUGGUGCUAAUCCCAAAAGCCUCUCUCAGUUCGGAUUGGAGUCUGCAACCCGACUCCAUGAAGCUGGAUUCGCUAGUAAUCGCGCAUCAGCCAUGGCGCGGUGAAUACGUUCCCGGGCCUUGUACACACCGCCCGUCAAGCCAUGGGAGCCGGGGGUACCUGAAGUCCGUAACCGCGAGGAUCGGCCUAGGGUAAAACUGGUGACUGGGGCUAAGUCAUAACAAG
rnacentral:rRNA from 1 species